rnacentral:rRNA from 1 species
AUACGGAGGGGGCUAGCGUUGUUCGGAAUUACUGGGCGUAAAGCGCGUGUAGGCGGAUCGUUAAGUCAGGGGUGAAAGCCCGGAGCUCAACUCCGGAAUUGCCCUUGAUACUGGCGAUCUAGAGGCCGGGAGAGGUGAGCGGAAUUCCCAGUGUAGAGGUGAAAUUCGUAGAUAUUGGGAGGAACACCAGUGGCGAAGGCGGCUCACUGGCCCGGUCCUGACGCUGAGACGCGAAAGCGUGGGGAGCAAACAGGAUUAGAAACCCUAGUAGUCC